UUACGGCCACAUCACGUUGAAACGCCGUUUCAUGUACCAUCACCCAAGUUAAGCAACGUCGAGCCUGGUCAGUACUUAGAUGGGUUACUGCUUGAGAAUACCUGGUACUGCAAG